rnacentral:ncRNA from 1 species
CUUUUUUUUGCAUGGUGCUGCGCAAAAUCACAAAGCGGCUUUGCGACAAACGCUCCAAGUGGGCCAUUUUUGGUAAGCAGAACUGGCGAUGUGGGAUGAACCAAACGCGGAGUUACGGUGCCUAACUAUUCGCUCAUGAGACCCCAUGAAAGGGUGUUGGUUGAUAUAGACAGCAGGACGGUGGCCAUGGAAGUCGGAAUCCGCUAAGGAGUGUGUAACAACUCACCUGCCGAAUCAACUAGCCCUGAAAAUGGAUGGCGCUCGAGCGAAUGACCUAUACUCUGCCGUCGUUGAGCCCG